AUUGAACGCUGGCGGCAGGCCUAACACAUGCAAGUCGAACGAGUGGCGGACGGGUGAGUAAUGUCUGGGAAACUGCCUGAUGGAGGGGGAUAACUACUGGAAACGGUAGCUAAUACCGCAUACCAUCCGAUUUGCCCAGAUGGGCUUAGCUUGUUGGUGGGGUAACGGCUCACCAAGGCGACGAUCCCUAGCUGGUCUGAGAGGAUGACAAGCCACACUGGAACGUAGACACGGUCCAGACUCCUACGGGAGGCAGCAGUGGGGAAUAGUGCACAAGGGGCGCAAGCCGGAUGUAGCCAUGCCGCGUGUAUGAAGAAGGCCUUCGGGUUGUAAAGGACUUUCAGCGGGGAGGCGUUACCCGCAGAAGAAGCACCGGCUAACUCCGUGCCAGCAGCCGCGGUAAUUC
rnacentral:rRNA from 1 species